rnacentral:rRNA from 1 species
GAUGAACGCUGGCGGCGUGCCUAAUACAUGCAAGUCGAGCGAACAGACGAGGAGCUUGCUCCUCUGACGUUAGCGGCGGACGGGUGAGUAACACGUGGAUAACCUACCUAUAAGACUGGGAUAACUUCGGGAAACCGGAGCUAAUACCGGAUAAUAUAUUGAACCGCAUGGUUCAAUAGUGAAAGACGGUUUUGCUGUCACUUAUAGAUGGAUCCGCGCCGCAUUAGCUAGUUGGUAAGGUAACGGCUUACCAAGGCAACGAUGCGUAGCCGACCUGAGAGGGUGAUCGGCCACACUGGAACUGAGACACGGUCCAGACUCCUACGGGAGGCAGCAGUAGGGAAUCUUCCACAAUGGGCGAAAGCUUGACGGAGCAACGCCGCGUGAGUGAUGAAGGUCUUCGGAUCGCAAAACUCUGUUAUUAGGGAAGAACAAAUGUGUAAGUAACUAUGCACGUCUUGACGGUACCUAAUCAGAAAGCCACGGCUAACUACGUG